UUCCAUCCCUCCUUCCCUCCGGUCCCUCAGCCGCUCCGCAUCCCCUCGGCCGCGCCGCUCCCGCAUCCCUCCGGCCGCGCCCCUCCCGGCCCUUACCUCCCCGGGGGCGCAGGGAGGGGCGGCCGGCGGCCCCGAGCUCGGCGGGACGGCCCCGAAACAAAAAGCGAAAGCGGCGGCCGCUGCCUCCCGCUCUGCCGGGCUGUCGAGCUCUGCCCGCGGCUGACGUCAAGGGCCCAAAUUCCUGCCUUUCCCUGCAGGCAGAUUUGUCCAUCUGUUCGGUAUCUGCACCUGCCCUGAAGAGAACUGGAAGACAGAAGGGUUACAUUGUGUUCAGGCUGCGGAGGGGAGCAUUUCCAAGCCUUAUUCAUUUGGAAAGAGAUUUCUGGGUGAGUUUGUAGGCACUUCAAAUGUAUUUCAUUUUUAAAAUAAAGGACUCUGGUGUGUGCUUUCA
rnacentral:lncRNA from 1 species